rnacentral:rRNA from 1 species
CGCCAGACUCCUACGGGAGGCAGCAGUGGGGAAUCUUCCGCAAUGGGCGCAAGCCUGACGGAGCAACGCCGCGUGAAUGAAGAAGGUCUUCGGAUCGUAAAGUUCUGUUCUUAGGGAAGAAGUCUUUUCUUGUGAAUAAUGGGAGAAGGUGACGGUACCUAUGGAGAAAGCUCCGGCUAACUACGUGCCAGCAGCCGCGGUAAUACGGAGGAUGCGAGCGUUAUCCGGAUUUAUUGGGUUUAAAGGGUGCGCAGGCGGAUUUUUAAGUCAGCGGUAAAAUCGUGGGGCUCAACCCCAUCCAGCCGUUGAAACUGGGGAUCUAGAGUGUGCGAGAGGUAUGCGGAAUGCGUGGUGUAGCGGUGAAAUGCAUAGAUAUCACGCAGAACCCCGAUUGCGAAGGCAGCAUACCGGUGCACAACUGACGCUCAGGCACGAAAGCGUGGGUAUCGAACAGGAUUAGAUACCCCUGUA